rnacentral:pre_miRNA from 1 species
AUCAUCUGAAGAUCUUGUUAAAAUGCAGAUUCAGAUUCAAUAUGUCCUGAAUGGGCCCAAGACUCUGCAUUUCUAAUAAGCUUUCAGGUGAUGCUGA